rnacentral:lncRNA from 1 species
AUGUUGGUCAGCGUUUAUUCGUAAAUCUGGUCGUUUCACCGUCACGUAUGUAUUGUACUUUUACCAAAUCCACCAAUAGCAAUUUCCAGUUUCCCUAUUGUUCGAGUCACGGAUAGGUGACUUUCCUAAAACAUUGCUAUUGGUUAGUUGGGCAAGAAUACAAUACACACGUGACGGUGAAGGACCAGAUUUAUGAAUAAAAGUU